rnacentral:rRNA from 1 species
AUGAUAGCUUGCUAUCAGGCGUCGAGCGGCGGACGGGUGAGUAAUACUUAGGAAUCUACCUAGUAGUGGGGGAUAGCACGGGGAAACUCGUAUUAAUACCGCAUACGACCUACGGGAGAAAGGGGGCAGUUUACUGCUCUCGCUAUUAGAUGAGCCUAAGUCGGAUUAGCUAGAUGGUGGGGUAAAGGCCUACCAUGGCGACGAUCUGUAGCUGGUCUGAGAGGAUGAUCAGCCACACCGGGACUGAGACACGGCCCGGACUCCUACGGGAGGCAGCAGUGGGGAAUAUUGGACAAUGGGGGAAACCCUGAUCCAGCCAUGCCGCGUGUGUGAAGAAGGCCUUUUGGUUGUAAAGCACUUUAAGCAGUGAAGAAGACUCCGUGGUUAAUACCCACGGACGAUGACAUUAGCUGCAGAAUAAGCACCGGCUAACUCUGUGCCAGCAGCCGCGGUAAUACAGAGGGUGCAAGCGUUAAUCGGAAUUACUGGGCGUAAAGGGAGCGUAGGUGGCUCUAUAAGUCAGAUGUGAAAUCCCCGGGCUUAACCUGGGAACUGCAUCUGAAACUGUAGAGCUAGAGUAUGUGAGAGGGAGGUAGAAUUUCAGGUGUAGCGGUGAAAUGCGUAGAGAUCUGAAGGAAUACCGAUGGCGAAGGCAGCCUCCUGGCAUAAUACUGACACUGAGGCUCGAAAGCGUGGGUAGCAAACAGGAUUAGAUACCCUGGUAGUCCACGCCGUAAACGAUGUCUACUAGUCGUUGGGUCCCUUGAGGACUUAGUGACGCAGCUAACGCAAUAAGUAGACCGCCUGGGG